UCCAGACUCCUACGGGAGGCAGCAGUGGGGGAUAUUGCACAAUGGGGGGAACCCUGAUGCAGCGACGCCGCGUGGGUGAAGAAGCGCCUCGGCGCGUAAAGCCCUAUCGGCAGGGAAGAAGGAGGACGGUACCUGACUAAGAAGCCCCGGCUAACUACGUGCCAGCAGCCGCGGUAAUACGUAGGGGGCAAGCGUUAUCCGGAUUUACUGGGUGUAAAGGGGGCGCAGACGGCAGCGCAAGCCAGGAGUGAAAGCCCGGGGCCCAACCCCGGGACUGCUCUUGGAACUGCGCGGCUGGAGUGCAGGAGGGGCAGGCGGAAUUCCUGGUGUAGCGGUGAAAUGCGUAGAUAUCAGGAGGAACACCGGUGGCGAAGGCGGCCUGCUGGACUGCGACUGACGUUGAGGCCCGAAAGCGUGGGGAGCAAACAGGAUUAGAUACCCCCGUA
rnacentral:rRNA from 1 species